rnacentral:misc_RNA from 1 species
GAUGAAGAACGCAGCGAAAUGCGAUAAGUAAUGUGAAUUGCAGAAUUCAGUGAAUCAUCGAGUCUUUGAACGCACAUUGUGCCCCCUGUUAUUCCGGGGGGCAUGCCUGUCCGAGCGUCAUUGCUGCCCUCAAGCACGGCUUGUGUGUUGGGCCGUCGUCCCCCUCCUAGGGGACGGGCCCGAAAGGCAGCGGCGGCACCGCGUCCGGUCCUCGAGCGUAUGGGGCUUCGUCACCCGCUCCGUAGGCCCGGCCGGCGCUUGCCGACGACCAUCAAUCUCUUUCUCCAGGUUGACCUCGGAUCAGGUAGGGAUACCCGCUGAACUUAAGCAUAUCAAUAAGCGGAGGA